AACGCUAGCUACAGGCUUAACACAUGCAAGUCGAGGGGCAGCAUUAUCGAAGCUUGCUUUGAUAGAUGGCGACCGGCGCACGGGUGAGUAACGCGUAUCCAACCUUCCCCAUAGUCAGGAAUAGCCCGGCGAAAGUCGAAUUAAUGCCUGAUGUUUUCCACGGACGGCAUCUGAUGUGGAACAAAGAUUCAUCGCUAUGGGAUGGGGAUGCGUCUGAUUAGCUUGUUGGCGGGGUAACGGCCCACCAAGGCAACGAUCAGUAGGGGUUCUGAGAGGAAGGUCCCCCACAUUGGAACUGAGACACGGUCCAAACUCCUACGGGAGGCAGCAGUGAGGAAUAUUGGUCAAUGGGCGGAAGCCUGAACCAGCCAAGUAGCGUGAGGGAUGACUGCCCUAUGGGUUGUAAACUGCUUUUAUAAGGGAAUAAAGUGAGUCUCGUGAGACUUUUUGCAUGUACCUUAUGAAUAAGGACCGGCUAAUUCCGUGCCAGCAGCCGCGGUAAUACGGAAGGUCCGGGCGUUAUCCGGAUUUAUUGGGUUUGAAGGGAGCGUAGGCCGGAGAUUAAGCGUGUUGUGAAAUGUAGAGGCUCAACCUCUGCACUGCAGCGCGAACUGGUCUUCUUGAGUACGCACAACGUGGGCGGAAUUCGUGGUGUAGCGGUGAAAUGCUUAGAUAUCACGAAGAACUCCGAUUG
rnacentral:rRNA from 1 species